rnacentral:rRNA from 1 species
UAGGGAAUCUUCGGCAAUGGACGAAAGUCUGACCGAGCAACGCCGCGUGAGUGAAGAAGGUUUUCGGAUCGUAAAACUCUGUUGUUAGAGAAGAACAAGGACGUUAGUAACUGAACGUCCCCUGACGGUAUCUAACCAGAAAGCCACGGCUAACUACGUGCCAGCAGCCGCGGUAAUACGUAGGUGGCAAGCGUUGUCCGGAUUUAUUGGGCGUAAAGCGAGCGCAGGCGGUUUCUUAAGUCUGAUGUGAAAGCCCCCGGCUCAACCGGGGAUGGUCAUUGGAAACUGGGGGACUUGAGUGCAGAAGAGGAGAGUGGAAUUCCAUGUGUAGCGGUGAAAUGCGUAGAUAUAUGGAGGAACACCAGUGGCGAAGGCGGCUCUCUGGUCUGUAACUGACGCUGAGGCUCGAAAGCGUGGGGAGCAAACAGG